AAUAUCACUGCAAGCUCCUACUUUUUUUCUCUUUUUUUUGAGAGAGAGAUAGAUAGCACGCUACCCGCUUCGUUUAUUUUAUUUAGAAAUAAACUUUGCAAGAAAUGUAAAUCAACUAGGAUUUGAACUUGAGUCUCAGAUACCAACCACCAAGCCCUUAAUUUGCCACUUGCUCUAGGGACGGUCAGUCUGCAAGCUCCUACUUGUGCG
rnacentral:lncRNA from 1 species